AUAUGUUGAGGUUUACAAUUGUUAUUUGCACCUUGUCUCAUCUUCACCUUAUCUUUUUGCGGCUUCAAACUUUGAACCAUAUUUUCGAUUCAAUUUAUUUCUGGCACACUUAAGCAAGACCCUUUUCAUUUGCAGAUUUCGAGUUAUUUGCGCCAUAAUGGGCCCUCUCCCAUCGUCUGCCGAACCGAAGAUGGCGUGAGGCUUGCUUGGCCGUGGUCUGAAAGCCUGUCGUGCGUGAGAGGAUCCUGUGCGACGUCGUUGCUACGAUGCCGGCCUCUCGCCUAGUGGUCACGCUGCGUCACGAGGCUGUGUCAGAAGUUGCUCGCCGUCAAUGAUAUUUGAAUGUAAUCGAAAUUUCGAAGUAUUUGCGCCAUAAUGGGCCCUCUCGCAUCGUCUGCCGAACACCCGCGGUCUGCUCAGGAAAUAUUUUCUACGUUGGAGGCAUGGAAGCUUGCGGGAGAAGAUUCGCGACUUUCUGGUUACCUUGGCUGUGGGCAUAGCUGGAUCCGUCGCGGCAUUGAUGAGGAAAGAAGAACAGGGACCGCACGAACCGUAGCAGCAGCAUUAACACAAACAACCAAGUCUCUUUCUAUAAAUGGAGACAUUCUUUUUGUGCGAUUAACCGAAUUAUCUUGAACCAUUGCUUGAGGCCUGCUCUUGGACAGAAUAGUGUAACUUUAUGUAGCAAUUUUUAAUUUUAUUGAUACUCUGUAGGAUAAGAAUGCUUUCGCUGCUUCACGAAUUUCUCGAAUAGCGUGAACAUAUUGUUAAUCUCGGAAAUACUUAUGAGACGAAGCC